rnacentral:lncRNA from 1 species
GCUCUUCCACCUAAGGGAUUAUUAGGGAUAGAGUAAUUUUGUGAAUUGACUUUAGUAAUUUGAUGNAGUGGAGAUGAAAUUGUGUAUGUACAAGAGUGAAUUCGUGAAACCUAACCUUAGUAAUGUCAUUUCAUAUCAUUUCUAGUCUAUUGCAUUCUUAAGUGUCUUCAAACACCAAAGUACAACCUUGUAUAUUUGAAAUUUUAUCUUCUUUUCCCUUGUUUGUCAAUUGAUAUGUUGUUCUUGAGUCUAUAUGAGUUGUUAAUAGUGCAAUUAACUAGUAUUACACGAG